rnacentral:lncRNA from 1 species
UCUCUCUUUCUCGUAUUCUUAAUAUAAGCAUUCUCUCUGAGAAGACGGAUUGCUUAUUUACAGUUUAAGGAGUAAGCUAUAUUAAUAGCCACGCAGAAUGUAAAACAUUAUGGAUGUGCUGCAGUGACAGGUGUUUCCCCCUCCCCCAAGUUCUAAAGAAUUUCUGGAUACAAGACAGAAGGAAUGUUAAGUUAGAACCCCUCCCCCAUAUAGUUUUACAUGUAAAAAUAGUGGUACUUUGGUAUGCUAUAUGUUUAAUCAUGGACAUAUUGGAUGCAUAUGUGUACAGUAUGUUUGAAACUAAUAAUUUCAAUGAUCUUAGGAAACUAAAUAAAUGUCCAUUGAUAAAAGUUCAUAAUGUCUGCUCCCUGUUCUCCAAGAAUGAAUAAAAU